rnacentral:rRNA from 1 species
GUGCCAGCAGCCGAAGUAAUACGCAAGGUGCAAUCCGUAAUCCGAAUUACUGGGCGUAAAGCGCACGCUUGUUGUUUGUUAAGUCAGAUGUGCAAUCCCCGCGCUCAACCUGGGAACUGCAUCUGAUACUGGCAAGCUUGAGUCUCGUAGAGGGGGGUAGAAUUCCAGGUGUAGCGGUGAAAUGCGUAGAGAUCUGGAGGAAUACCGGUGGCGAAGGCGGCCCCCUGGACGAAGACUGACGCUCAGGUGCGAAAGCGUGGGGAGCAAACAGGAUUAGAUACCCUGGUAGUCC